UGGCAAUGGUUCUAUGAAUUGGAUGUAGA
rnacentral:piRNA from 1 species